GAUGAACGCUGGCGGCGUGCUUAACACAUGCAAGUCGAACGAUGAGGCCCAGCUUGCUGGGUGGUUUAGUGGCGAACGGGUGAGUAACACAUGAGUAACCUGCCCUUAUCUCUGGGAUAAGCCUGGUAAACUGGGUCUAAUACCGGAUAGGAGCGUCCACCGCAUGGUGGGUGUUGGAAAGAUUUAUCGGUUUUGGAUGGACUCGCGGCCUAUCAGCUUGUUGGUGAGGUAUGGGCUCACGAAGGCGACGACGGGUAGCCGGCCUGAGAGGGUGACCGGCCACACUGGGACUGAGACACGGCCCAGACUCCUACGGGAGGCAGCAGUGGGGAAUAUUGCACAAUGGGCGCAAGCCUGAUGCAGCGACGCCGCGUGCGGGAUGACGGCCUUCGGGUUGUAAACCUCUUUCAGUAGGGAAGAAGCGAAAGUGACGGUACCUGCUGAAGAAGCACCGGCUAACUACGUG
rnacentral:rRNA from 1 species